UACACGAGUGGCGCACGGUGCGUUACGCGUAUGCAACUACCUUUCUANCGGGGGGAUAUCCUGGGGAAACUCAGAGCAAUACCCCAUAUGCACACACUGUAGCAUUACAGAGUGUGGAAAACUCCGGUGCUGAGAGAUGGGCAUGCGUGACAUUAGCUAGUUGGUGGGGUAGCGGCUCACCAAGGCUACGAUGUCUAGCUGGUCUGAGAGGAUGAUCAGCCACACUGGAACUGAGACACGGUCCAGACUCCUACGGGAGGCAGCAGUAGGGAAUAUUGGACAAUGGGCGAAAGCCUGAUCCAGCCAUGCCGCGUGGAGGAAGACGGCCCUCUGGGUUGUAAACUCCUUUUAGCAGGGGAUAAACCUGUGCUAUAUGCACAGCUGAAGGUACCUGCAGAAUAAGCACCGGCUAACUCCGUG
rnacentral:rRNA from 1 species